rnacentral:sRNA from 1 species
GCCAGGUGUGGUGGUGGGCGCCUGUAAUCCCAGCUACUCGGGAGGCUGAGGCAGGAGAAUCGCUUGAACCCAGGAGGUAGAGGUUGCAGUGAGCCAAGAUCGUGCCACUGCACUCCAGCCUGGGUGACAGAGCGAGACCCUGCCUUUA